CGGAGCUUGCUCCACCGGAAAAAGAAGAGUGGCGAACGGGUGAGUAACACGUGGGUAACCUGCCCAUCAGAAGGGGAUAACACUUGGAAACAGGUGCUAAUACCGUAUAACAAUCGAAACCGCAUGGUUUUGAUUUGAAAGGCGCUUUCGGGUGUCGCUGAUGGAUGGACCCGCGGUGCAUUAGCUAGUUGGUGAGGUAACGGCUCACCAAGGCCACGAUGCAUAGCCGACCUGAGAGGGUGAUCGGCCACAUUGGGACUGAGACACGGCCCAAACUCCUACGGGAGGCAGCAGUAGGGAAUCUUCGGCAAUGGACGAAAGUCUGACCGAGCAACGCCGCGUGAGUGAAGAAGGUUUUCGGAUCGUAAAACUCUGUUGUUAGAGAAGAACAAGGAUGAGAGUAACUGUUCAUCCCUUGACGGUAUCUAACCAGAAAGCCACGGCUAACUACGUGCCAGCAGCCGCGGUAAUACGUAGGUGGCAAGCGUUGUCCGGAUUUAUUGGGCGUAAAGCGAGCGCAGGCGGUUUCUUAAGUCUGAUGUGAAAGCCCCCGGCUCAACCGGGGAGGGUCAUUGGAAACUGGGAGACUUGAGUGCAGAAGAGGAGAGUGGAAUUCCAUGUGUAGCGGUGAAAUGCGUAGAUAUAUGGAGGAACACCAGUGGCGAAGGCGGCUCUCUGGUCUGUAACUGACGCUGAGGCUCGAAAGCGUGGGGAGCAAACAGGAUUAGAUACCCUGGUAGUCCACGCCGUAAACGAUGAGUGCUAAGUGUUGGAGGGUUUCCGCCCUUCAGUGCUGCAGCUAACGCAUUAAGCACUCCGCCUGGGGAGUACGACCGCAAGGUUGAAACUCAAAGGAAUUGACGGGGGCCCGCACAAGCGGUGGAGCAUGUGGUUUAAUUCGAAGCAACGCGAAGAACCUUACCAGGUCUUGACAUCCUUUGACCACUCUAGAGAUAGAGCUUCCCCUUCGGGGGCAAAGUGACAGGUGGUGCAUGGUUGUCGUCAGCUCGUGUCGUGAGAUGUUGGGUUAAGUCCCGCAACGAGCGCAACCCUUAUUGUUAGUUGCCAUCAUUCAGUUGGGCACUCUAGCAAGACUGCCGGUGACAAACCGGAGGAAGGUGGGGAUGACGUCAAAUCAUCAUGCCCCUUAUGACCUGGGCUACACACGUGCUACAAUGGGAAGUACAACGAGUCGCGAAGUCGCGAGGCUAAGCUAAUCUCUUAAAGCUUCUCUCAGUUCGGAUUGUAGGCUGCAACUCGCCUACAUGAAGCCGGAAUCGCUAGUAAUCGCGGAUCAGCACGCCGCGGUGAAUACGUUCCCGGGCCUUGUACACACCGCCCGUCACACCACGAGAGUUUGUAACACCCGAAGUCGGUGA
rnacentral:rRNA from 1 species